rnacentral:rRNA from 1 species
CCUACGGGUGGCAGCAGUGGGGAAUAUUGGGCAAUGGAGGAAACUCUGACCCAGCAACGCCGCGUGAAGGAUGAAGGUUUUCGGAUUGUAAACUUCUGUCGCUAGGGAUGAAGAAUGACGGUACCUCGUAAGAAUGCCCCGCCAAACUACGUGCCAGCAGCCGCGGUAAUACGUAGGGGGCAAGCGUUGUCCGGAAUGACUGGGCGUAAGGCGAGUGGAGGCGGCAUAUUAAGUUUUGUGUGAAAGCCCGCGGCUCAACCGCGGAAGUGCACAGAAAACUGGUAAGCUGGAGUGCAGGAGAGGAAAGUGGAAUUCCAGGUGUAGCGGUGGAAUGCGUAGAUAUAGGGAGGAACACCAGAGGCGAAGGCGACUUACUGGACUGUAACUGACGCUGAGGCUCGAAAGCGUGGGGAGCAAACAGGAUUAGAUACCCGGGUAGUC